rnacentral:rRNA from 1 species
UAAUCGGGGCAGGGUGAGUCGACCCCUAAGGCGAGGCCGAAAGGCGUAGUCGAUGGGAAACGGGUUAAUAUUCCCGUACUUGGUGUUACUGCGAAGGGGGGACGGAGAAGGCUAUGUUGGCCGGGCGACGGUUGUCCCGGUUUAAGCGUGUAGGUGUGUGUUCCAGGUAAAUCCGGUUCACUUUAACACUGAGGCGUGACGACGAGGCACUACGGUGCUGAAGCAACAAAUGCCCUGCUUCCAGGAAAAGCCUCUAAGCAUCAGGUAACAUCAAAUCGUACCCCAAACCGACACAGGUGGUCAGGUAGAGAAUACCAAGGCGCUUGAGAGAACUCGGGUGAAGGAACUAGGCAAAAUGGUGCCGUAACUUCGGGAGAAGGCACGCUGACACGUAGGUGAAGUGAUUUACUCAUGGAGCUGAAGUCAGUCGAAGAUACCAGCUGGCUGCAACUGUUUAUUAAAAACACAGCACUGUGCAAACACGAAAGUGGACGUAUACGGUGUGACGCCUGCCCGGUGCCGGAAGGUUAAUUGAUGGGGUCAGCGCAAGCGAAGCUCCUGAUCGAAGCCCCGGUAAACGGCGGCCGUAACUAUAACGGUCCUAAGGUAGCGAAAUUCCUUGUCGGGUAAGUUCCGACCUGCACGAAUGGCGUAAUGAUGGCCAGGCUGUCUCCACCCGAGACUCAGUGAAAUUGAACUCGCUGUGAAGAUGCAGUGUACCCGCGGCAAGACGGAAAGACCCCGUGAACCUUUACUAUAGCUUGACACUGAACAUUGAGCCUUGAUGUGUAGGAUAGGUGGGAGGCUUUGAAGUGUGGACGCCAGUCUGCAUGGAGCCGACCUUGAAAUACCACCCUUUAAUGUUUGAUGUUCUAACGUGGACCCGUUACCCGGGUUGCGGACAGUGUCUGGUGGGUAGUUUGACUGGGGCGGUCUCCUCCUAAAGAGUAACGGAGGAGCACGAAGGUUGGCUAAUCCUGGUCGGACAUCAGGAGGUUAGUGCAAUGGCAUAAGCCAGCUUGACUGCGAGCGUGACGGCGCGAGCAGGUGCGAAAGCAGGUCAUAGUGAUCCGGUGGUUCUGAAUGGAAGGGCCAUCGCUCAACGGAUAAAAGGUACUCCGGGGAUAACAGGCUGAUACCGCCCAAGAGUUCAUAUCGACGGCGGUGUUUGGCACCUCGAUGUCGGCUCAUCACAUCCUGGGGCUGAAGUAGGUCCCAAGGGUAUGGCUGUUCGCCAUUUAAAGUGGUACGCGAGCUGGGUUUAGAACGUCGUGAGACAGUUCGGUCCCUAUCUGCCGUGGGCGCUGGAGAACUGAGGGGGGCUGCUCCUAGUACGAGAGGACCGGAGUGGACGCAUCACUGGUGUUCGGGUUGUCAUGCCAAUGGCACUGCCCGGUAGCUAAAUGCGGAAGAGAUAAGUGCUGAAAGCAUCUAAGCACGAAACUUGCCCCGA